rnacentral:rRNA from 1 species
CCUACGGGAGGCAGCAGUGGGGGAUAUUGCACAAUGGGGGGAACCCUGAUGCAGCGACGCCGCGUGGGUGAAGAAGCGCCUCGGCGCGUAAAGCCCUGUCAGCAGGGAAGAAAAUGACGGUACCUGAAGAAGAAGCCCCGGCUAACUACGUGACAGCAGCCGCGGUAAUACGUAGGGGGCAAGCGUUAGCCGGAUUUACUGGGUGUAAAGGGGGCGCAGACGGGGAUGCAAGCCAGGAGUGAAAGCCCUGGGGCCAACCCCGGGACUGCUCGUGGAACUGCGUGGCUGGAGUGCAGGAGGGGCAGGCGGAAUUCCUGGUGUAGCGGUGAAAUGCGUAGAUAUCAGGAGGAACACCGGUGGCGAAGGCGGCCUGCUGGACUGCAACUGACGUUGAGGCCCGAAAGCGUGGGGAGCAAACAGGAUUAGAUACCCUAGUAGUC